AGGCUGCCACCUGGGCGCAUGAGGAUGACGCUCCAACCAACUGCGCCUCCGGCCAGGCCAGGCAGGGCGUGUUUCCCAGGCCUCGUCUCCGUCAGCCCGCCUGACCCUGGGGUGCCGGGAGCACCUCGCCAGGCAUGUCGGACCUCACCCGACUCUCCCAGUCCCCGAUGCCCCCAGGAGCAAGGCCCUGUGCCCGCCCACUGGCUGGGGCUCCCCCAGCACAGGACGGACAUCCGUGGAAUUCGUCUCAUCGCCACGCGGACUGGCUCUCCCUGCUCAUGGCGCAGGUGGUGGGAGGCUCCCGAAAACCCUGUCUCCUGGUCGCUCUCACACCGUCACCCACAGCCUGGAAGGAUGCUGGCGGCAUUCACAGCGCCCAGCAGGGUUAAAGCUUUUCUAAGCCGUCACACACAGUUUCGGGCCGUAGCCCACGACAUCAGGAGACGACGGUGCCUGCUGAUCACAAAGCGAGAAGGCCGUUUCCGUGAGAAGAAAUGAUGCAGGUUUCGCUCUCAGGGUCCCUGGUUGGAGCCCUGGGUGAGCCUGCAGGAGAGGAUGGGCGUGGUGCUGAGGGCGUCUGUGUGUCCUGUGGGGCUGGGGGUAAAGUAUUAGGGGCGUUUCCUUCCAGGGAAUGAUUUCUCUUGGACAGCGACACAGACACAGCUUUGAUGCCCAGGCAGAUCCUGGUGCCAUUGCAUGAAGCAGGUCUCCAUGAAGCAGGUCUCCAUGAAGCAGGUCUCCAUGAAGCAGGUCUCCAUGAAGCAGGUCUCCAUGAAGCUCCGCGUGCUUCCCCGACGUGCCAUUUCCGUGUUCCUGGAUGCGAUGCCUGUUCUGUAACUACGCGGGGCUCCCUUAGCCACUCGGGGGCCCCCACGAUGCCAGGUACGGUGCCAAGCAUUGCUACCAGGAUCUCUCUUCAUGGCACCCUGACAUGGCUGCCCAUUUUAUGGAUGAGUACAGCAAGGAUCAGAUACAUGCACUCCCCCAUGGCCCUUGAUGUAUGGCAGCGCUCACAGGGGUGCCUCCAGGUCAAGGGAACCUGCAAGAAUUCCCGGGACCCCAGUGGACACGGCCACGUUGGCUCUUGUGACAAGGACUGGCUGCUUCCGUGAGUUUGUCGCAGCGAUUCCUCUGCAUUCCGGGGUCCUCUGCUGUUUCCAGGCCUCGCUCCCCUGAACGUGAGCUCCCCACACCGUGGCCAGGCGGGCUGAGACUUUACUCUGUUACUCGUGCUGGACCAGCACCGUAGCUGCCACAUGCUAGACAUUCAAUAAACAUUGCUGAAACACGGAACCUUAUCCAGAGCCAGGGCUGGAUGUGGCAGGAGCACACAGGCAGGGGUCGCCCCGGGGCCUUGGCGUAUGUCCUUUCUCUGCUCGGUGACCUUGGACACACCAUCUCACCCCUGUGGACUUCGUCCCCCGAGGCUGUCAAUCAAACCAGCCUGUCAAUCAAACCAGCCUGUCAAUCAAACCAGCUCUGCUUUGCAGGGCUGGGAGGAUGCUCAUGGGCUCUCAUGGGACUUUUGAAAUGUGAGAGCUGCGAGAUGGACUGAACAACGCAAGGAAAGGUAGGCGGUCCUCGCAUUGGUGGUAGAAACGAUUUCUAGAAAAUAUGCUGCAAUUUGUUUUCUCUCUUAGAAAUUUGAAAAUACCUUCCAAACUAACUCUUGGACGCAGACAUCAAAACUGACACCGUAAACGACUUAUAAGUUCAUGGCACCGCGUACCAGAACCUUGGGGCUGGGCCCAAAUGAGUAGAGAACCAUCUGUAGCCACAAUGGGCUUAUGAAAAUGGAAGAUGGAAAAUGCACUUUCUGAACAUUCAACUGAAGCUGAAAACAAACGCCAUUGCCAAUACCAACAUUCACAUGGGUGAGCGCACACACGCACACGCACACACAC